rnacentral:tRNA from 1 species
GGGCCCGUAGUUCAAUUGGAUAGAAUGACAGAUUCCGGUUCUGUUGGUUGGGGGUUCGAGUCCCUCCGGGCUCA